rnacentral:rRNA from 1 species
UACAGAGGUGGCAAGCGUUGUUCGGAAUUACUGGGCGUAAAGGGCUCGUAGGCGGCCAACUAAGUCGGAUGUGAAAUCCCCAGGCUUAACCUGGGAGCUGCAUCCGAUACUGGAUGGCUUGAAUCCGGGAGAGGGAUGCAGAAUUCCAGGUGUAGCGGUGAAAUGCGUAGAUAUCCGGAGGAACACCGGUGGCGAAGGCGGCUUCCUGGACCGACACUGACGCUGAGGCGCGAAAGCUAGGGGAGCAAACGGG